rnacentral:rRNA from 1 species
UACGUAGGGUGCAAGCGUUGUCCGGAAUUAUUGGGCGUAAAGAGCUCGUAGCGGUUUGUCGCGUCUGCUGUGAAAACCCGAGGCUCAACCUCGGGCCUGCAGUGGGUACGGGCAGACUAGAGUGCGGUAGGGGGAGAUUGGAAUUCCUGGUGUAGCGGUGGAAUGCGCAGAUAUCAGGAGGAACACCAAUGGCGAAGGCAGAUCUCUGGGCCGUAACUGACGCUGAGGAGCGAAAGCAUGGGGAGCGAACAGG